GCCCACCAAGGCGACGACGGGUAGCCGGCCUGAGAGGGCGACCGGCCACACUGGGACUGAGACACGGCCCAGACUCCUACGGGAGGCAGCAGUGGGGAAUAUUGCACAAUGGGCGCAAGCCUGAUGCAGCGACGCCGCGUGAGGGAUGACGGCCUUCGGGUUGUAAACCUCUUUCAGUACCGACGAAGCGCAAGUGACGGUAGGUACAGAAGAAGCACCGGCCAAAUACGUGCCAGCAGCCGCGGUAAUACGUAGGGUGCGAGCGUUGUCCGGAAUUACUGGGCGUAAAGAGCUCGUAGGCGGUUUGUCGCGUCGUCUGUGAAAACCCGCAGCUCAACUGCGGGCUUGCAGGCGAUACGGGCAGACUUGAGUACUGCAGGGGAGACUGGAAUUCCUGGUGUAGCGGUGAAAUGCGCAGAUAUCAGGAGGAACACCGGUGGCGAAGGCGGGUCUUUGGGCAGUAACUGACGCUGAGGAGCGA
rnacentral:rRNA from 1 species